UUCUAGCAUUAGAUCGUUUUUCCUGCCUGUCACUUCUCUCUGAUGUUUGCAGCUUUCUAAGAUCUGCAGUUUGAAAAGGAUUUAUCUGCUGGUGUGGAUUGGAUUCCUGGUUACCGGAUGGGGAGUCUCUCCAGCAUGGAUGGGGUACAGAGGGUUUACAUCUAACCUGUGUUUCCAGAUGCCGGUCUCCAACUCACUGCCUCUCUCUUUUGCAGUGCUCCUCUGUAAAGGAAACAGUUAACCACAGCUCUGAGGACGCACAAACCAAAUUCAAUUGUGCUCAAGGGAUCACAUUUAAUUUCAACUUGCAAUAUAAUCAAACAAAACCCGGGAUAAUCCCUUAUUGCUUGCAUGUAACUGUUAGCGCUCCACUUGUUAUCCGGCCCAUAAUUAAUCCUCCAGAGCACUACUGCUUGCUAGCUGACUGCACCUGGGAAGCCAAUGGAAAGAGGAACAUCUGGAUAGCCACCAAUCAGCAGCAAGCUCUCAGUAGUGCAUUGCUGCUACGGAGUCUACUGUUUUAUGCUUUUCAACAAAGAAUUCCAAGAUAACAAAGUAAAUGGAAUAAUAGAAGUAAAUGGAAAAGUCUCUUACACCUCUAUCAGAUGCAUAAUAAGACUUUAAAGGGACAUUCCAGCCAAAAUUUGAAUCCACGUUUUACUAGAAGCAUUUUUGCUAAUAAAUGUAUAUUGCAUAUAUGUUCCUAUUCAAAGAUGUAAUUCAUCUAUGUGCAUUUAAAUUUUGACCGUAAUGUCCCUUUAAUUUUCACUUAAUUGUUCCUUUAAUACAUUCAGUGAUUUUCUGCCCUGGUUGACAGCUUGGUUAUAUGACAAUAACAGCAGUCAAGAGGUUAAUCUGUUCUCUUGUUUUUACAUUUUUAUAUUCUCUGUCCCUAAGAAUCUCCUACUACUAAAUAAAUGGGGCAUAUCUUGAAA